AUUGAACGCUGGCGGAAUGCUUUACACAUGCAAGUCGAGCGGCAGCACGGGGGCAACCCUGGUGGCGAGCGGCGAACGGGUGAGUAAUACAUCGGAACAUGCCCAGUCGUGGGGGAUAACACUUCGAAAGAAGUGCUAAUACCGCAUACGUCCUGAGGGAGAAAGCGGGGGAUCUUCGGACCUCGCGCGAUUGGAGUGGCCGAUGUCAGAUUAGCUAGUUGGUGGGGUAAAGGCCUACCAAGGCAACGAUCUGUAGCUGGUCUGAGAGGAUGAUCAGACACACUGUGACUGAGACACGGCCCAGACUCCUACGGGAGGCAGCAGUGGUGAAUUUUGGACAAUGGGGGCGACCCUGAUCCAGCCAUUCCGCGUGAGUGAAGAAGGCCUUCGGGUUGUAAAGCUCUUUCGGCAGGAACGAAACGGUGAGCUCUAACAUAGCUUGCUAAUGACGGUACCUGAAGAAGAAGCACCGGCUAACUACGUGCCAGCCGCCGCUGUAACAC
rnacentral:rRNA from 1 species